GAUGGUGAUGAGAUAACUUGGAAUCUCGUUCGUCUGAACUUCUGUUGAGAGAAUAUGAUCUGACAUCA